rnacentral:rRNA from 1 species
GGUUAAGCGACUAAGCGUACACGGUGGAUGCCCUGGCAGUCAGAGGCGAUGAAGGACGUGCUAAUCUGCGAUAAGCGUCGGUAAGGUGAUAUGAACCGUUAUAACCGGCGAUUUCCGAAUGGGGAAACCCAGUGUGUUUCGACACACUAUCAUUAACUGAAUCCAUAGGUUAAUGAGGCGAACCGGGGGAACUGAAACAUCUAAGUACCCCGAGGAAAAGAAAUCAACCGAGAUUCCCCCAGUAGCGGCGAGCGAACGGGGAGCAGCCCAGAGCCUGAAUCAGUGUGUGUGUUAGUGGAAGCGUCUGGAAAGGCGCGCGAUACAGGGUGACAGCCCCGUACACAAAAAUGCACAUGCUGUGAGCUCGAUGAGUAGGGCGGGACACGUGGUAUCCUGUCUGAAUAUGGGGGGACCAUCCUCCAAGGCUAAAUACUCCUGACUGACCGAUAGUGAACCAGUACCGUGAGGGAAAGGCGAAAAGAACCCCGGCGAGGGGAGUGAAAAAGAACCUGAAACCGUGUACGUACAAGCAGUGGGAGCACGCUUAGGCGUGUGACUGCGUACCUUUUGUAUAAUGGGUCAGCGACUUAUAUUCUGUAGCAAGGUUAACCGAAUAGGGGAGCCGAAGGGAAACCGAGUCUUAACUGGGCGUUAAGUUGCAGGGUAUAGACCCGAAACCCGGUGAUCUAGCCAUGGGCAGGUUGAAGGUUGGGUAACACUAACUGGAGGACCGAACCGACUAAUGUUGAAAAAUUAGCGGAUGACUUGUGGCUGGGGGUGAAAGGCCAAUCAAACCGGGAGAUAGCUGGUUCUCCCCGAAAGCUAUUUAGGUAGCGCCUCGUGAAUUCAUCUCCGGGGGUAGAGCACUGUUUCGGCAAGGGGGUCAUCCCGACUUACCAACCCGAUGCAAACUGCGAAUACCGGAGAAUGUUAUCACGGGAGACACACGGCGGGUGCUAACGUCCGUCGUGAAGAGGGAAACAACCCAGACCGCCAGCUAAGGUCCCAAAGUCAUGGUUAAGUGGGAAACGAUGUGGGAAGGCCCAGACAGCCAGGAUGUUGGCUUAGAAGCAGCCAUCAUUUAAAGAAAGCGUAAUAGCUCACUGGUCGAGUCGGCCUGCGCGGAAGAUGUAACGGGGCUAAACCAUGCACCGAAGCUGCGGCAGCGACGCUGAUGCGUUGUUGGGUAGGGGAGCGUUCUGUAAGCCUGCGAAGGUGUGCUGUGAGGCAUGCUGGAGGUAUCAGAAGUGCGAAUGCUGACAUAAGUAACGAUAAAGCGGGUGAAAAGCCCGCUCGCCGGAAGACCAAGGGUUCCUGUCCAACGUUAAUCGGGGCAGGGUGAGUCGACCCCUAAGGCGAGGCCGAAAGGCGUAGUCGAUGGGAAACAGGUUAAUAUUCCUGUACUUGGUGUUACUGCGAAGGGGGGACGGAGAAGGCUAUGUUGGCCGGGCGACGGUUGUCCCGGUUUAAGCGUGUAGGCUGGUUUUCCAGGCAAAUCCGGAAAAUCAAGGCUGAGGCGUGAUGACGAGGCACUACGGUGCUGAAGCAACAAAUGCCCUGCUUCCAGGAAAAGCCUCUAAGCAUCAGGUAACAUCAAAUCGUACCCCAAACCGACACAGGUGGUCAGGUAGAGAAUACCAAGGCGCUUGAGAGAACUCGGGUGAAGGAACUAGGCAAAAUGGUCUGCCGUAACUUCGGGAGAAGGCACGCUGAUAUGUAGGUGAAGUCCCUCGCGGAUGGAGCUGAAAUCAGUCGAAGAUACCAGCUGGCUGCAACUGUUUAUUAAAAACACAGCACUGUGCAAACACGAAAGUGGACGUAUACGGUGUGACGCCUGCCCGGUGCCGGAAGGUUAAUUGAUGGGGUUAGCCGCAAGGCGAAGCUCUUGAUCGAAGCCCCGGUAAACGGCGGCCGUAACUAUAACGGUCCUAAGGUAGCGAAAUUCCUUGUCGGGUAAGUUCCGACCUGCACGAAUGGCGUAAUGAUGGCCAGGCUGUCUCCACCCGAGACUCAGUGAAAUUGAACUCGCUGUGAAGAUGCAGUGUACCCGCGGCAAGACGGAAAGACCCCGUGAACCUUUACUAUAGCUUGACACUGAACAUUGAGCCUUGAUGUGUAGGAUAGGUGGGAGGCUUAGAAGUGUGGACGCCAGUCUGCAUGGAGCCGACCUUGAAAUACCACCCUUUAAUGUUUGAUGUUCUAACGUGGACCCGUAAUCCGGGUUGCGGACAGUGUCUGGUGGGUAGUUUGACUGGGGCGGUCUCCUCCUAAAGAGUAACGGAGGAGCACGAAGGUUGGCUAAUCCUGGUCGGACAUCAGGAGGUUAGUGCAAUGGCAUAAGCCAGCUUGACUGCGAGCGUGACGGCGCGAGCAGGUGCGAAAGCAGGUCAUAGUGAUCCGGUGGUUCUGAAUGGAAGGGCCAUCGCUCAACGGAUAAAAGGUACUCCGGGGAUAACAGGCUGAUACCGCCCAAGAGUUCAUAUCGACGGCGGUGUUUGGCACCUCGAUGUCGGCUCAUCACAUCCUGGGGCUGAAGUAGGUCCCAAGGGUAUGGCUGUUCGCCAUUUAAAGUGGUACGCGAGCUGGGUUUAGAACGUCGUGAGACAGUUCGGUCCCUAUCUGCCGUGGGCGCUGGAGAACUGAGGGGGGCUGCUCCUAGUACGAGAGGACCGGAGUGGACGCAUCACUGGUGUUCGGGUUGUCAUGCCAAUGGCACUGCCCGGUAGCUAAAUGCGGAAGAGAUAAGUGCUGAAAGCAUCUAAGCACGAAACUUGCCCCGAGAUGAGUUCUCCCUGACUCCUUGAGAGUCCUGAAGGAACGUUGAAGACGACGACGUUGAUAGGCCGGGUGUGUAAGCGCAGCGAUGCGUUGAGCUAACCGGUACUAAUGAACCGUGAGGCUUAACCUU